rnacentral:rRNA from 1 species
UACGUAGGGUGCAAGCGUUGUCCGGAAUUAUUGGGCGUAAAGAGCUCGUAGGCGGUCUGUCGCGUCGGCUGUGAAAACCCGAGGCUCAACCUCGGGCCUGCAGUGGGUACGGGCAGACUAGAGUGCGGUAGGGGAGAAUGGAACUCCUGGUGUAGCGGUGGAAUGCGCAGAUAUCAGGAAGAACACCGAUGGCGAAGGCAGUUCUCUGGGCCGUAACUGACGCUGAGGAGCGAAAGCGUGGGGAGCGAACAGG